GGCCCAAAUUAGCUCAGUUGGUUAGAGUGUCGUGCUAAUAACGCGAACGUCGUGGGUUCGAUCCCCCCCAUGGGCCA
rnacentral:tRNA from 1 species